UACGGAGGGUGCGAGCGUUGUCCGGAAUCACUGGGCGUAAAGGGCGCGUAGGCGGCAUGCCAAGCGUGUGGUGAAAGCCCGGGGCUCAACCCCGGGUCGGCCGUGCGGACUGGCGUGCUCGAGCACUGUAGGGGCGGGUGGAAUUCCUGGUGUAGCGGUGAAAUGCGUAGAUAUCAGGAGGAACACCUGCGGUGUAGACGGCUUACUGGACGGUAACUGACGCUGAGGCACGAAAGCGUGGGUAGCAAACAGG
rnacentral:rRNA from 1 species